GCGCCGAGAAAGGUGAGGGGCCGUCUGCCCGCUGGGGGGAGCCGAGAAAGCAGCCAUGCUUUCCAUCAAUGUCCGGGUCUGCUGUGUGAACAAUGCCUGGGGCGGCAGCCCACCAGGAGGAGCCCCGACCUGGGAGGUGCAGCCUCCAAACAGAAAAGGCCGUCUUUACAGGUCUGCAUUCUGGGGAAUUGAACUGUAUUUCCAGAAAGACGUGUUGACGGCCCCGGACUUGUGAAUCCUUGCAGAUGUGAUCAAGGAACCUCCAUGGUGGUUGUCGAACUGGCCCAGAUCGGAGGGUCCCAAGAUGCCCUCCUUGGAUUCGGUUCAUCUGCUAGUUCAGCUCACAGAGUCGAGGAAGACUUGCUUAACUUCCUGGAUCGCCAGCUUCCUAUAAAGGAUGCAGUCAGGUGAAGGCCCCUGACGGGGAGCGGGCACAGGCUUUCCUGCCCACGAGACGCACGUUCCUCGCCCCCUUGCUCGCCAACCCACCUGCCCCUGUCUGGGGCUUCUGGGUUUUUAUGGAGCCUCGCCUCCCAGGAUGACUGACUCGCUCCUCAGCCUCUGUGAUGGGUUCACCCUCGCCCACUCUUAGCUCAGGUGGUGGGGGCGGGGUGGAAAGUUCCAACCCUCUAAUCACAGAGGGGCUUCUCCCGGCAACCAGCCCCCACCCCUGGGUGGCAUCCAAAAGUUCCCUUGCCCGAUGCGUUGUCCAGAAUUGAGGACAAGAGACAGACCUUAUCCCAUCCCUCAGAAAAUUCCCAGGGCUUGGGAGCCGUGGACGGUGUGGACGGCUGCUCCACAGCCAUGGCCACUCAGCCCGCCUCCCCGGAGCCAGCUGGGUGCUGUGGGAUGGUGGUUUGUUUCUUUUUCCUGCUGGGCGGUGCCCAAGGCUCGUGUGCCAGUGACCUGCUGAAGGGCCUGGCUGCUCCAGUUCACUGCGUUUACUUCUGGUGAGUCAAGCUGCUGAGCCUCUGUGUACAGGUUUCCCGGUGAACAGUUAGCCCUUCUCUCAAACAAACUCCAGGACAGCUUGGUUUUGUAAUCACCGAGAGCACUGGUAUUUAUUUCUUAGAGAAGCAGGAAGUCACUCAAUGAUGGGCUGUCACAAACACAGGCUCCGUGCCAACCGCCCCUGCUGCGUGCAUUGGCCCUGCCGUCCUCUGCUUUCUCUGCCUUACCCCGCGUUGGCCGUCGUGUGGAUGGACCCCUGACCCUGACAAAGGCCGGGGCUGGGGGGGUUGAAUCGGGAGCUGCUUAGAACAGGACCGGACAAACUGAGUGGGAAGGGGGAAACCACGCAGGCUCUGUCUAGUAGAGUCGGCAGAACAGGCAGAAUGCGGCUCGUUCAUCCUUUACACAGCCCUCCCUGUGCCCCCCGACCUCCACCUAUGGAGAGGACCUUGGCUGCGUCCUGCCUGCCUCCCGGCGCUAGGAUGGAUGUCAGGGGGCGGGGGACCCUGACCCCUCAGCUGCUCCCUGUCGCUUACACUGCCUCCACGGGGUGCUCCUCUGACUUUCCUCAGCGUCAUCCCUGCAGAAACUGAGACCCCACAGCCCUGCCUCCCGCGGAGACAGUGGCUACAGCCCCGGAACCAAAUGCAGUCAGACAGAUUUUGCAUGGCCCUGGAGCCAGCAGCAGCUUUUCCGUUUUCUUUUUAUAAAGGGUUGCAAACUUCAGGAGGUCCUGAAGGACAGGGAAGCUUGGCGCGCUGCAGUCUACAGGGUCGCAAAGAGUCGGACACGACUGAGCGACUGAACAAUAAUGAAAUCUCUGGGAGAUGUUUGGAGGGGUGAGCCAAACCACAGGGUGGACAGCAAGAAGUCAAGCUGCCUCCCCCGCUGCCUGGAGAGAUAACCGCUGUUCUGGAAACCAAGCAAACUCAAGCGUAACAACGGACAAACCACACACUUCUGUUUGCAUGGGGUGUGCUCACCCAGCGACGGGGAUGACAAGGUUGGAUUCUCAGAAGCCUGGUACCCGGAGGGUCUGAGCCGAGUUCCGGCAGCUCCACUGACCACGUGGGCGCCUGGUGCGCGGAAAUGCACGUUCAUUAUGAAAAAUGGACGACAUUCUGCGCCAGGCCAGGAUACGGCUCCAGCACAUGAAGAUGCCGGGGUUUCGUGCUCGAGCCGCGGGCGUCGGGGCUAACUCCGUUUUUGCAGCUCCGACAUGAGCACGUGCCUGACCUGUACGACGGUGUCCUCUCAGCAGAGCUGGGGGCAAAGGUCAUGUACAUCUUCUCUGAUCCUGACUAGGUCACGAGCGCACGCUGAAGGGCUCCUGGUUCUAGCACAUCGCUGCUGCUGUGCUGCGUGAAACCCAGAUUAGUCUAAAGGAAAAGGGCGGAAGAGACUCCUUUCACGUGGAUCACGCAGGGCUGGCAGAGGCAGAGAGACACAGGGUUCCGGGCCGAGAGCGCUGCAGGUGUCCCGGUGUCGCUGCCAGAAAGCCGUACAGCCAGAGAACGUUCAGAGACCGUGAAGAGGGUGAAUUUUAUGUAUGUGACCUGGGUCUUGAUGGAAGAUCUAAAACUGAACCGAACUUGAGAAGGUGAUGCGUGUUCGACGUCCAGAUACUGUCCCCCCAGAAAGGCUACAGCGGUCUCCAAAGUGCUCGGAACCCCGGUGCCCGCCCGUUCCCGCCGCAUUCAGCACUGCCGCCCCGCUGCUCAGCGGCUGUGUCUCGCUCUCGGGGGUGGUGGCCCGCCUCUGAUCACUACGGGAGGUUCGUGCUUAUGUUUAUGAGAGGGUCACAGGCAGGAGGGCCUGGGGGGGGGUCUCCAAGCGGAGGAAACAGGCUGCAAGUGUCUCUUCAAAUUCUGUGUUGCUAUGACGACACCUGGUUCCACCUGAACUUAGCUUUUCUCACACCUUGGGCUAACCAAUGCGUUUUGCUUAUGGAAAUAUUUUCCUUAAACUAUGUUAAUGAAACGAUGUGUUUGCUUUGGAAUUUGGCUUUCUUCAAAAUGGCUCCACUUAAGGCUAACUUUUGACUGAUAAUAGCUCAACAAACCAGUAUUCAUAUCGGUUGUUUUGUGGCUGGGGGAUGACACAUUUCCUGUCUCAAAAAUGCACUUUAUGGGAGAGGGGCCUGCCGAAACCCCCUCAGCCUUGAGGCGGCUCUCUGUACCCGAUUAAUAGCUUUCCAACAGACAGAACACAGCUUGCUAAAACUAGCGCGGGGGGCUCGCUGCGUCCCCCUUCUGACGUCUAUGUCAGAAGCUUUCCCAGUCCCUUUUUAUACUUUAAUAAA